CAUAAUUCUAUCAAAUAUACCCACCAGAUGGAAGUCCUCCUUCUAGUGACUAUCUCCUUUGUGUCUUAGUAUGCACGUACAUAUGCAGUGUGGAAUACAGAUAUUUAUUGAAGCUUUUUUAACCUGUUAAUCCAGCGUCUGAUGCAUUACCUGAAUUUGUGAACUUGGAAAUUCACUUUGGAAGAAAGUGAAAUACACACAGUGGGUACAGAGUUUUCUAGGGGAAGGAUAUAUAUGCUGUCACAUAAGGAUAUGACUGCAGCUGGGAAAGAGAAGUUUCAUUGCUUGUUGCUCUUUUGCUGAGGAGCAGAAAAUCCUGACUUCUACAGCUGCAGCACUGCAAGCACUGAAGGACAAAUCCAAGGAAAGAACACCACAAAGAAAGCUGUACCUCCUGUAACUUCUGUGUGUGGAAGCCUUUAACUGGCCAUGUGAAAGAGAAUGCUGCCAACCCAUCCCAGUGGAAAAUUCCUUCCUGGUAAUUACCUUGAUCUAUUGCAAAUCCGUAUACUCUCUGAUAUGCCAAUAUAUGGCUGGAAAACAGCCUUCCAGAAGAUGACCUUGAGGUCCUGGCAGACACUGACUUGAACAUGAACCAAUAAUGUGCCCUUGUGGCAAAGAAGACAAAUGGUGUCCUGGGAUGCAUUAGGAGUAUUGCCAGCAGAUUGAGGGAGGUAAGUGAUUCCUCUAUUAGUGCCAGUGA
rnacentral:lncRNA from 1 species